GGACACGACCCGCCUCCGCCAGCGCGCCUUCGUGCAGCGGGUCUGCGGCGGACUCCGUGCGGAUACGCACAUCGAACGCGCCCUUUCCACUCCUAACGGCUUCUUCGGUUUUCAAAUUUCUCGUUGAUGAAGUGGAAGACGAAAACAGCGGCGUCUGAAGGCUCACUGUCAUUCACAAGUGGCCACAGUCUGGUUUGGGGGUCUACGCUUUCUCGUCCUGUCCUGCCACCCAAGUAAAGUCAUUCACAAGUGGCUCCAGUCUGGUUUGGGGGUCUACGCUUUCUCGUCCUGUCCUGCCACCCAAGUAAAGUCAUUCACAAGUGGCCCUAGUCUGGUUUGGGGGUCUAUGCUUUCUCAUCCUGUCCUGCCACCCAAGUAAAGUUAUUCACAAGUGGCUCCAGUCUGGUUUGGGGGUCUACGCUUUCUCAUCCUGUCCUGCCAUUCAAGUAAAGUGCUGUGAGGAAAAACACAGAAACAUGGUCAGCCAACGACGCGGUGGUCACUAAGCACGAAAUCAGGUGGUUCAACGAGGAGACCUGUCCUGCCUCCAUCCACACCAAACGGAU